rnacentral:sRNA from 1 species
AAAAUGUGAACAGUGAUUGUUAGGAUGGAUAAAUUUUGUGUGCGGGGCUAUUCAUUUUAAGUUGAAUGAGGAGCUACCCAAGUACAUGCAGUGAAUUUUCAUGUUUAAUAUUUAUCAGUGAUUUCCUAAUUAUACAAGAUGUCUAGAACAUACGAUACAUUUAAUUUUCAGCAAGAUUACUGGUUCUUGCUGAGGAAUGAAUUUGAAAAUAACUCUUUUGCAUCUUUAGUUUUUGACAGAGGAAAUUACUCUAUUGUAAGUAGGGUAGAGGUAUUCCUGCAUUUUCAAGUGCUAUUUGCUAUAGUGCUUUGAGUCUGCUUCAAGUUGUGUUCUGGUUAUUUAUUUUGAUCUUUAUUUUGCAAAGAUUGUGUGAUAUGUAACAGAAUGUGCCUAGAACCAAUGCCAUUCAAGCAUGGUAGUGACAAAAUUCUUAGUAAUUUAUUUCUCUUUCCUUGUUUGAGAUCCCAUAAAAACUGCCCAAGGAUCUCUCUCACUAAAGGCAUACAGACUGACUCCUAAACUGAUGGAAGUUUGUAAAGAAAAGGAUUUUUCCCCUGAAGCAUUGAAAAAAGCAAAUAUCACCUUUGAGUACAUGUUUGAAGAAGUGCCGAUUGUAAUUAAAAAUUCACAUCUGAUCAAUGUCCUAAUGUGGGAACUUGAAAAGAAGUCAGCUGUUGCAGAUAAACAUGAAUUGCUCAGCCUUGCCAGCAGCAAUCAUUUGGGGAAGAAUCUACAGUUGCUGAUGGACAGAGUGGAUGAAAUGAGUCAAGAUAUAGUUAAAUACAACACAUACAUGAGGAAUACUAGUAAACAACAGCAGCAGAAACAUCAGUAUCAGCAGCGUCGCCAGCAGGA